UGUUACUCAGGAUGAUAGGGGGACGGUUUACAGUGUCCCAGAGUUUAAAGCUGAAGCUUGCGGCUAUUCCUGGGCCACCGCGGAUCAUGUACUGGCCAAUCACAUGGAGAUGAUGGAGGGGAUCGUGGUUACAAAUAGCAACAGGACUCUUGUCACCCGUAACUGCUCCAAUCUGAUCUACUACACACGAGACUGCAUCUCUGAGGACUCACAACUUACAGCAACAUGCAUGAGUGAGUAUUAUUAUCUUCC